rnacentral:rRNA from 1 species
CCUACGGGUGGCAGCAGUGAGGAAUAUUGGUCAAUGGCCGGAAGGCUGAACCAGCCAAGCCGCGUGAAGGACGAAGGUGCCAAGCAUUGUAAACUUCUUUUGUCAAGGGACAAAAUCAGGCUCGAGAGCCUGACCGAGGGUACUUGAAGAAAAAGCAUCGGCUAACUCCGUCCCAGCAGCCGCGGUAAUACGGAGGAUGCGAGCGUAAUCGGGAUUUAUGGGGGUAAAGGGGUGCGUAGGCGGGCUGUUAAGUCAGCGGUAAAAGCCCGGGGCUCAACCCCGGCGAGCCGUUGAUACUGGCUGUCUUGAGAUGUGGAGAGGUAUGCGGAAUGCGCAGUGUAGCGGUGAAAUGCUUAGAGAUUGCGCAGAACUCCGAUUGCGAAGGCAGCAUACCGGCGGCGAUCUGACGCUGAGGCACGAAAGCGUGGGUAUCGAACAGGAUUAGAUACCCCAGUAGUC